AUUUAAUUAGUAUAAAAAAGUACAUUUAAUUUCCAAUUAAAUAGUUUCUUAAGAAAUUAAAUA
rnacentral:tRNA from 1 species